AGAGUUUGAUCCUGGCUCAGAACGAACGCUGGCGGCGUGGAUAAGACAUGCAAGUCGAACGCUGAUUGUCGGGUAGCAAUAUUCGGCAGUCGGAGUGGCGCAAGGGUGCGUAACACGUGGGUAAUUUGCCGUGAAGCUGGGGAUAACUCCGAGAAAUCGGAGCUAAUACCGAAUGUGACAUUCCUGGGCAACCGGGACUGUUAAAGUUGGGGACCGCAAGGCCUGACACUUCACGAUAAGCCCGCGGCCUAUCAGCUAGUUGGCGGGGUAACGGCCCACCAAGGCUAAGACGGGUAGCUGGUCUGAGAGGACGACCAGCCACACUGGAACUGAGACACGGUCCAGACACCUACGGGUGGCAGCAGUCGAGAAUUUUUCACAAUGGGCGCAAGCCUGAUGGAGCGACGCCGCGUGGGGGAUGAAUGGCUUCGGCCCGUAAACCCCUGUCAUUUGCGAACAAACCUUGCCUGUUAACACCAGGCAAGUUGAUAGUAGCGAAAGAGGAAGGGACGGCUAACUCUGUGCCAGCAGCCGCGGUAAUACAGAGGUCCCAAGCGUUGUUCGGAUUCACUGGGCGUAAAGGGUGCGUAGGCGGUGAAGUAAGUCCGAUGUGAAAUCUCCGAGCUUAAC
rnacentral:rRNA from 1 species